rnacentral:tRNA from 1 species
AUUUAUAUAGUUUAAAUAAAAUAUUAAAUUGCAAAUUUAAAGAUAAAAUUUUUAUAAAUU